UACGUAGGGUGCGAGCGUUAAUCGGAAUUACUGGGCGUAAAGCGUGCGCAGGCGGUUAUGUAAGACAGAUGUGAAAUCCCAGGGCUCAACCUUGGAACUGCAUUUGUGACUGCAUAGCUAGAGUACGGUAGAGGGGGAUGGAAUUCCGCGUGUAGCAGUGAAAUGCGUAGAUAUGCGGAGGAACACCGAUGGCGAAGGCAGUCCCCUGGGCCUGUACUGACGCUCAUGCACGAAAGCGUGGGGAGCAAACAGG
rnacentral:rRNA from 1 species